GGCACAUGGAGCCUUUGCCGCAUGAGGACCUGUGCUCUGGUCCUCCCAGGGCCCGUGGGGCUUGGACAGUCCAGCCAUAGGCCUUAGUGGCCCCCAGGAGGCCCUGCUCUGUGCAGGCACGGUUCUCAGCCUCGAGGACAGAGCCAUGGGCAAAUCUAGCUGAGUUAUGCUGAGGCCAGGCUCCAGUGGACACUAUGUCCAGAGGCCUCUUCUAGAGGAGACUGGGAUCCGCACUGCAGCCAGGUCACCCGGAGAGGCCGGUGGAGUGGACGAAGCAGGCAAAGGCGGCAACAGAGUAGAGGGUGCUGUCCAGGAGCUUCCGGAGUCUCAGUCCCCACCAGGCGGGGCUGGGAGGCUCCCAGCGGCCGUCUGGCCUGCAGAUGCCACCAUGGAUACAGCAGAUCAAAUGAUGCAAGCAGUUACUGCCCUUUUACAGUUCAAGUGACAUCCAGGCCCGGUGAACGCCAAGACCUCUAGGAGUAGAAGCCAGCGUCUCUACACAGCAGCUGUCGCAGGAAUUCAACAGUGAGCGCCCCACAGCAGGUCUGCUCAGGUUCCCUCUACUCUUGCCCCAACCCCAAGGUGUCUGUGUGUGCGAUCACCACAGCCAGCCCUACGCUCCAUUUUACAAAUGGAGAAACAGAUCCAGAGCAGGGUGUGAGCCCUCCAAUUUCACACCAGCAACUGGUUGACCCCUGAGGAGACUCCAGGCCACCUGACAUGCAGUCACACCUUCCACACCUCUGGUUGUCUCCUUGUUUGGUGGCCUGGUGGGAGGGCAGAAGAGCCAGGGGGCAUGGCUGUUCAGCUUUGAUUGAUAGCAACCAUCAGUAAUCUGUUAGAUAGCCACAAACUAUCAUGGGCUUCACACUGAAACCUCAUAUCAACUCUGGAAGUAAAUUGUCUCAUUUGUCAUAACAGGACUCUGAGUCUCUGAAAGGCUAAGACUUGCCUGAGGUCCCCAGGCUGGGACACCAUGGAGCUGGGAGGACUUGAAUAGUAGUCCACAUGCUCUUGGCCCAUGGCUUCACUGUAGGUCUCUUGCAAGCACCAGGCUAUGGGACAUGCUUUUGGAAGUUCUGGAAGCGACUCCCGGUGGCCAAGCGGUGUCCACUGUGGUUGAGGGUGGGUCAGGGAAGGGUUCAGGUUGUUGAGAGUCCUGUGGGCCUCAGGACAGAGGGGUGACUGACCUGAUUCUCCUGCCUGGGCUGCCCACCCUGACCCUCUCAGACAUUCCUCAUCGUAGGUGAAAUGGGGUAUUCCCAGAGGAGUGGGGUGUGGUCAGGGCGCAGGGAAGACAAAGGAUUUAUAAGCUAGAGACCCCCAGCAUGCCUGUCACGACCCGGCCCAGGGUGCUCUUCACCCCGAGAUGAUCGUGCACAUGGGGGUCUCCCUCCUUCCUCC
ensembl:lncRNA